GACGAACGCUGGCGGCAUGGCUAAAACAUGCAAGUCGAACGGCAAAGUCGUAGCAAUACGGCGAGUAAGUGGCGUAAGGGUGAGUAAUACGUUUCUAUGUACCCCGAGGUCAGGGAUAGCCCAGGGAAACCUGGGGUAGACCUGAUGCGGUCACCAUGUCAAAGUGGUGAUCAAAGGCUUGCCGCCUUGGGAGGCAGGGAACGUCCUAUCAGGUAGUUGGUGAGGUAACGGCUCACCAAGCCGAAGACGGGUAGCGGGUGUGAGAGCAUGGCCCGCCACAUCGGGACUGAGACACUGCCCGGACUCCUACGGGAGGCUGCAGUAACGAAUCUUCCGCAAUG
rnacentral:rRNA from 1 species